rnacentral:rRNA from 1 species
UGGGGAAUUUUGGACAAUGGGCGAAAGCCUGAUCCAGCAAUGCCGCGUGUGUGAAGAAGGCCUUCGGGUUGUAAAGCACUUUUGUCCGGAAAGAAAUCCUUGGCUCUAAUACAGUCGGGGGAUGACGGUACCGGAAGAAUAAGCACCGGCUAACUACGUGCCAGCAGCCGCGGUAAUACGUAGGGUGCAAGCGUUAAUCGGAAUUACUGGGCGUAAAGCGUGCGCAGGCGGUUUGCUAAGACCGAUGUGAAAUCCCCGGGCUCAACCUGGGAACUGCUUGGUGACUGGCAGGCUAGAGUAUGGCAGAGGGGGGUAGAAUUCCACGUGUAGCAGUGAAAUGCGUAGAGAUGUGGAGGAAUACCGAUGGCGAAGGCAGCCCCCUGGGCCAAUACUGACGCUCAUGCACGAAAGCGUGGGGAGCAAACAGGAUUAGAUACCCUGGUAGUCCCACGCCCUAAACGAUGUCAACUAGUUGUUGGGGAUUCAUUCCUUAGUAACGUAGCUAACGCGUGAAGUUGACCGCCUGGGGAGUACGGUCGCAAGAUUAAAACUCAAGGAAUUGACGGGGUCAUAGCUG